rnacentral:rRNA from 1 species
ACAGGUGCUGCAUGGCUGUCGUCAGCUCGUGUCGUGAGAUGUUGGUUAAGUCCGCAACGAGCGCAACCCUCGCCUUUAGUUGCCAGCAUUCAGUUGGGCACUCUAAAGGGACUGCCGGUGUCAAACCGGAGGAAGGUGGGGAUGACGUCAAGUCCUCAUGGCCUUUAUGUCUAGGGCUACACACGUACUAUAAUGGCAGGUACAAAGGGCAGCGACACAGCGAUGUGAUGCGAAUCCCGAAAAGCCUGUCUCAGUCCGGAUCGGAGUCUGCAACUCGACUCCGUGAAGUUGGAAUCGCUAGUAAUCGUGGAUCGGCAUGCCACGGUGAAUACGUUCCCGGGCCUU